rnacentral:rRNA from 1 species
GAUGAACGCUAGCGGCAGGCCUAAUACAUGCAAGUCGAACGGGAUAUAUGUUUUUCGGAAUAUAUAUUAGUGGCGCACGGGUGAGUAACACGUACAUAACUUGCCCUCAAGCGGGGGAUAGCCUUGGGAAACUGAGAGUAAUACCCCGUAGAAUUAUUGGACGGCAUCGUUUGAUAAUUAAAACUACGGUGUUUGGGGAUAGAUGUGCGUCUGAUUAGCUAGUUGGUGAGGUAACUGCUCACCAAGGCGACGAUCAGUAGGGGGCGUGAGAGCGUGGCCCCCCCAACGGGUACUGAGACACGGACCCGACUCCUACGGGAGCAGCAGUAAGGAAUAUUGGUCAAUGGAGGGAACUCGUGAACCAGCCAUGCCGCGUGAAGGAUGACGGCCCUCUGGGUUGUAAACUUCUUUUAGGAUGGGGCGAAAAAACGGGAUUUAUCCUGGACUGACGGUACCAUCAGAAUAAGCACCGGCUAACUCCGUGCCAGCAGCCG